CCUUCACAUGUGUAUCGUAAAAGCUAGUUUUACUGAAAGUUUUGAGAUCAGUUUAUGAUCUGGCUAGGAACAUUCUGAGCGACAGGUUUUCUAGAAAGCAAAAAGCAAAGCAAAGAAAGGAAAAAAAGGAAAAAACUUUAAAUCAAGCACUUGACGAUGUAGGAUGACCUUGUAGAAAUUUCCAUGAUAAAUUUUCUUGAUGUUCAGGAUUCA
rnacentral:lncRNA from 1 species